rnacentral:rRNA from 1 species
GCCAUGCAUGUCUAAGUACAGACCGCUUACGAAUCGGUGACACCGCGAAUGGCUCAUUAGAUCGAUCAUUGUUCCUUAGAUCGUACGUGCUGGUUGCAGCGAGUUGGAUAACUGUGGCAAUUCUAGAGCUAAUACAUGCGAGACGAGUCCGGAGCCGGCGCCUCGGCGCUGGCGAAGGGCGCUUUUAUUAGACCUGAAUCGGCCUGUCGGUCGAUGUGGUGACUCUGAAUAACUCUACAGCUGAUCGCACGCCCGCUUUGCGGGAGGCGACGUAUCUUUCAAGUGUUCGACCUAUCAAGUUUCGACGGUAGCCGACUUGGCUACCGUGCUACUGACGGGUACCGGGGAAUCUGGGUUCGAUUCCGGAGAGGGAGCAUGAGAAACGGCUACCACGUCCAAGGAAGGCAGCAGGCGCGCAAAUUACCCACUCCCGGCACGGGGAGGUAGUGACGAAAAAUACCGAUGCGGGGCCCCCCGCGGGGCUCUCGUAAUCUGGACUGAGUACACUCUAAACCCUUGCUUAGCGAGGAUCUACUGGAGGGCAAGUCUGGUGCCAGCAGCCGCGGUAAUUCCAGCUCCAGCAGCGUAUACUAAAGUUGUUGCAGUUAAAAAGCUCGUAGUUGGAUGUCGGUUCUGUUCGAGGUCGGCCUCCGGUUCCCUCGCGGGCCGGGGUCGGCCGGGCUAAGCGUCGGUGCGGUGACUUUUAAGUCGCCGCUACUGACCGGCCCGACCCUGUCGGCCGGGGCGACUCAACCCUCCGCCACCGCGCGCGAGGGCGCCUCGCGUCCGAUCUUUACUUUGAAAAAAUGAGAGUGUUCAAGACGGGCUGUGACGCCUGAAUCGUAAAGCAUGGAAUAAUGGAAUAGGAGCUGCCCCCUCCUGGCGGGGCGCGGUCCUUCGCGGGGYCGCGUUCGACGCGGGGGGUGUUCGGCGGCUAAUGAUGAAAAGAGACGGUCGGGGGCAUUCGUAUUGCGGCGUGAGAGGUGAAAUUCUUGGACCGUCGCAAGACGAACUGGUGCGAAAGCGUUUGCCAAGGACGUUUUCAUUAAUCGAGAGCGAAAGUCAGAGGCUCGAAGACGAUCAGAUACCGUCGUAGUUCUGACCGUAAACGAUGUCGACCGGGGCUCGGCGGCCCGUCGUUGUCUUUAGUACUAGUGACUCCGCCGGUACCCUUCCCCCGCGGGAAACCUUUGAGUUUUUGGAUUCCGGGGGGAGUAUGGUUGCAAAGCUGAAACUUAAAGGAAUUGACGGAAGGGCACCACCAGGAGUGGAGCCUGCGGCUUAAUUUGACUCAACACGGGAAAGCUUACCCGGCCCGGACACCGUGAGGAUUGACAGAUUGAGAGCUCUUUCUCGAUUCGGUGGAUGGUGGUGCAUGGCCGUUCUUAGUUGGUGGAGUGAUUUGUCUGGUUGAUUCCGAUAACGAACGAGACUCUAGCCUGCUAACUAGUGCGGGGAGUCGGAGCGGUUCUGAAGGGUCAAGCGGCGGUUUCGGCCGUGCGCGGGCCCGGAGGCCGCCCCAUGCCGGCUCGGUCUGUUUUGUGCCGGGUCGGCGCCUGGCCCCCGCCGCGCGAGGCGUCGGCUUCCGGUCGGCGUCCGCGACUUCUUAGAGGGACAAGCGGUUCUAAAGCCGCACGAGAUUGAGCGAUAACAGGUCUGUGAUGCCCUUAGAUGUUCGGGGCCGCACGCGCGCUACACUGAAGGUAGCAGAGGGUGUGUCGCGUCCCGCCCCGAAGUGGGGCGGGUAAACCGUUGAACUACCUUCGUGGCUUGGGACCGGGGCUUGGAACUGUUGCCCGCGAACGAGGAAUUCCCAGUAAGCGCGAGUCAUAAGCUGGCGUUGAUUACGUCCCUGCCCUUUGUACACACCGCCCGUCGCUACUACCGAUUGGACGGUUUAGCGAGGCCCCCGGAUCGGCGCGCCGCGGCCCGGCUCGCCGGGCUGCGGCGAAUGUCGAGAAGAUGGUCGAACUUGACCGUCUAGAGGAAGUAAAAGUCGUAACAAGGUUUCCGUAGGUGAAC